AGAAUCAACGCUGGCGGCGUGCCUAACACAUGCAAGUCGCACGAGAAAGGGGAGCAAUCCCUGGGUAAAGUGGCGCACGGGUGAGUAACACGUGAAUCAUCUACCUUCGAGUGGGGAAUAACUGGGAGAAAUCUCAGCUAACACCGCAUAAUACCUACGGGUCAAAGCAGCAAUGCGCUUGAAGAGGAGUUCGCGGCAGAUUAGUUAGUUGGCGGGGUAAUGGCCCACCAAGACGAUGAUCUGUA
rnacentral:rRNA from 1 species